rnacentral:rRNA from 1 species
AGUGAACGCUGGCGGUAGGCCUAACACAUGCAAGUCGAACGGCAGCACAGUAAGAGCUUGCUCUUACGGGUGGCGAGUGGCGGACGGGUGAGGAAUACAUCGGAAUCUACUUUUUCGUGGGGGCUAACGUAGGGAAACUUACGCUAAUACCGCAUACGACCUACGGGUGAAAGCAGGGGAUCUUCGGACCUUGCGCGAUUGAAUGAGCCGAUGUCGGAUUAGCUAGUUGGCGGGGUAAAGGCCCACCAAGGCGACGAUCCGUAGCUGGCCUGAGAGGAUGAUCGGCCACACUGGAACUGAGACACGGUCCAGACUCCUACGGGAGGCAGCAGUGGGGAAUAUUGGACAAUGGGCGCAAGCCUGAUCCAGCAAUACCGCGUGGGUGAAGAAGGCCUUCGGGUUGUAAAGCCCUUUUAUUGGGAAAGAAAAGCAGCAGGUUAAUACCCCGCUGUUCUGACGGUACCCAAAGAAAAAGCACCGGCUAACUUCGUG